CUGGGGGUGGAACUCAGGUCUUGAUGCUUCCAAAGCAAGCACGUUACAAGCAGAACCAUCUUUCCCGCCUUUUGUUUUCUUUUGACUGUUUCUGCCUGGCAACUAGCCAAUAUCACCGUUCCUGGUGAUGCUGUCCCACGAUCCAGAUAAUAUGGCUGCCAAGGAUGGAAAGCAGUGAACUCUACCAAAGAUCUUGUGCUGGCAACCACAGCUGCUGUGAGCUCGUGUGUGCAACAACCACAUCAUAUCCAGAGAGUGGCACAUCAUAGCUCUCCUCAGCUCUGACGUUCCUCCCUUCUCCCUCCUUUGUGACAUUCGCUGAGGCUUGGAUGGAGUGGGGUUGUGUUGGUGGUGUCCUGCUGAUGAACACUUGCAGCCAUUUAUUCUCAGUACUCUGAACAGCUAUGUCAACUGUUUUUGGAGGUAGCCAUUGUACAGAGUGAAGAGCAGGAGAAGAAUUGGGUAUAGACACUUAAGUAAGAGGACUGGGAUUUCCCUGAGAAUAUCUCGAAACUGUGAUGGUUUGAAGAUCCAGCUUGAGAAAGAUCGAAAAUUACACUCGAAGCCGGUCUUUGGGAUGUCUGUGAAGAAUUACCUCAUGAAGCUAACUGAAGUGAGGAGUCACACCUUAAACUCGGGAAACACCAUCCCAUGAGCUUGGUCCUGAAGUACGUAAAAAGAAGCAAGCAAGCCAAGCAUGGCUGGUCAUCUCUCUAUGCAUGUGACCAGCUGGCCUCCUGUUCCCACCACCGUGCGUGCCGUCCCUGCUAAGAUAGAAUAUAGUCCCUCAAACUGUAAGCCAGAAUAAACCCUUCCUUCCUGAAAA